UAAAGUUUGUCUCUAAAAUCCGUCUCCAACUAUUACUUUCUAUUUAUAAUUAAAAAAAUAAUCAAGUAGAGACAGAUUUAGAGACAAAAUCAUUUAGAGACAGAAUAAUCCGUCUCUAACAUCUGUCACUAAUACACAUAUUUUAUUUUCCGUCUCUGAUUGUUUUUUUGGUCUCUAAUUUUGUCUCUAAUAGAGAAGAAUUAAAUUCCGUCUCUAAAUUCCGUCGGUAUUU
rnacentral:lncRNA from 1 species